GAUGAAGAACGCAGCGAAAUGCGAUAAGUAAUGUGAAUUGCAGAAUUCAGUGAAUCAUCGAAUCUUUGAACGCACAUUGCGCCCGCUAGUAUUCUGGCGGGCAUGCCUGUCCGAGCGUCAUUUCAACCCUCAAGCCCCCGGGCUUGGUGUUGGGGAUCGGCGAGCCUCCGCGCCCGCCGUCCCCUAAAUCUAGUGGCGGUCUCGCUGUAGCUUCCUCUGCGUAGUAGCACACCUAGCACUGGGAAACAGCGCGGCCACGCCGUUAAACCCCCAACUUCUGAACGUUUGACCUCGGAUCAGGUAGGAAUACCCGCUGAACUUAAGCAUAUCAAUAAGCGGAGGA
rnacentral:misc_RNA from 1 species